GUUCACAUGUCCAUGAAGGGCGUGGGAAAUUUCUAGAAAUAAAAAGACUAUCAUAAUGCUCAACAACAGCAAUUUGAACACCAUAUGCUUCUGGGUCUUUG
rnacentral:rRNA from 12 species